rnacentral:misc_RNA from 1 species
GAUGAAGAACGUAGCGAAAUGCGAUAAGUAAUGUGAAUUGCAGAAUUCAGUGAAUCAUCGAAUCUUUGAACGCACAUUGCGCCCGCCAGUAUUCUGGCGGGCAUGCCUGUUCGAGCGUCAUUACAACCCUCAGGCCCCCGGGCCUGGCGUUGGGGAUCGGCGGAGCCCCCCGUGGGCACACGCCGUCCCCCAAAUGCAGUGGCGGUCCCGCCGCAGCUUCCAUCGCGUAGUAGCUAACACCUCGCGACUGGAGAGCGGCGCGGCCACGCCGUAAAACACCCAACUCUUCUGAAGUUGACCUCGAAUCAGGUAGGAAUACCCCCUGAACUUAAGCAUAUCAAUAAGCGGAGA